rnacentral:rRNA from 1 species
CGCCUGUUUUAUCAAAAACAUCGCCUCUUGCAAUACACUAAGUAUAAGAGGUCCAGCCUGCCCAGUGACUACGGGUUCAACGGCCGCGGUAUUCUGACCGUGCAAAGGUAGCGCAAUCACUUGUCUCUUAAAUAGAGACCUGUAUGAAUGGCUAGACGAGGGCUUAACUGUCUCCCCCUUCCAGUCAGUGAAAUUGAUCUAUCCGUGCAGAAGCGGGUAUAAAUUUACAAGACGAGAAGACCCUUUGGAGCUUAAGGUACAAAAUUCAACCACGUCAAACAACUCCAUAAGAAGCAAAAACUUAGUGGCACAUGGACCUUUACCUUCGGUUGGGGCGACCAUGGAGGAAAAACGAGCCUCCCAGUGGACCGGGCCAUAACCCCUAAAGCCAAGAGAGACAUCUUUAGGCCGCAGAAUAUCUGACCAACAAUGAUCCGGCCAAUAAAGCCGAUCAACGAACCAAGUUACCCUAGGGAUAACAGCGCAAUCCUCUCCCAGAGUCCAUAUCUACGAGGGGGUUUACGACCUCGAUGUUGGAUCAGGACAUCCUAAUGGUGCAGCCGCUAUUAAGGGUUCGUUUGUUCAACGAUUAAAGUCCUACGUGAUCU